GAUAAACGCUGGCGGCGUGCAUAACACAUGCAAGUCGAACGGUGAAACUUAGAUGAUUUCUUCGGAAUGAACUUAAGCGGAUUAGUGGCGAACGGGUGAGUAACACGUGAGUAACCUGCCUUACACAAGGGGAUAGCCUUUGGAAACGAAGAAUAAUACCCUAUAAAGUCAAUUUAUCGCAUGAUAGAAUGACCAAAGAUUUAUCGGUGUAAGAUGGACUUGCGUCUGAUUAGCUAGUUGGUGAGAUAAAGGCCCACCAAGGCAACGAUCAGUAGCCGGCUUGAGAGAGUGUACGGCCACAUUGGGACUGAGACACGGCCCAAACUCCUACGGGAGGCAGCAGUGGGGAAUUUUGCACAAUGGGGGAAACCCUGAUGCAGCGACGCCGCGUGAUUUAGAAGGCCUUCGGGUUGUAAAAAUCUUUUUUAUGGGAUGAAAAUGACAGUACCAUAAGAAUAAGGUCCGGCUAAAUACGUGCCAGCAGCCGCGGUAAUACGUAUGGACCGAGCGUUGUCCGGAAUCAUUGGGCGUAAAGGGUACGUAGGCGGCCCAGUAAGUUGGAAGUGAAAUAAUAUAGCUCAACUAUAUAAAGCUUUUAAAACUGCUAGGCUUGAGAGAUGGAAGGGAAAGUGGAAUUCCUAGUGUAGCGGUGAAAUGCGCAGAUAUUAGGAAGAAUACCGGUGGCGAAGGCGACUUUCUGGUCAUCAUCUGACGCUGAGGUACGAAAGCGUGGGUAGCAAACAGG
rnacentral:rRNA from 1 species